UUAAGUUAUUAAGGGCGCACGGUGGAUGCCUUGGCACUAGAAGCCGAUGAAGGACGUUACUAACGACGAUAUGCUUUGGGGAGCUGUAAGUAAGCUUUGAUCCAGAGAUUUCCGAAUGGGGAAACCCAGCAUGAGUUAUGUCAUGUUAUCGAUAUGUGAAUACAUAGCAUAUCAGAAGGCACACCCGGAGAACUGAAACAUCUUAGUACCCGGAGGAAGAGAAAGAAAAUUCGAUUCCCUUAGUAGCGGCGAGCGAAACGGGAAGAGCCCAAACCAAAAAGCUUGCUUGUUGGGGUUGUAGGACACUCUAUACGGAGUUACAAAGGACGACAUUAGACGAAUCAUCUGGAAAGAUGAAUCAAAGAAGGUAAUAAUCCUGUAGUCGAAAAUGUUGUCUCUCUUGAGUGGAUCCUGAGUACGACGGAGCACGUGAAAUUCCGUCGGAAUCUGGGAGGACCAUCUCCUAAGGCUAAAUACUCUCUAGUGACCGAUAGUGAACCAGUACCGUGAGGGAAAGGUGAAAAGCACCCCGGAAGGAGAGUGAAAUAGAACCUGAAACCGUGUGCUUACAAGUAGUCAGAGCCCGUUAAUGGGUGAUGGCGUGCCUUUUGUAGAAUGAACCGGCGAGUUACGAUUUGAUGCAAGGUUAAGCAGUAAAUGUGGAGCCGUAGCGAAAGCGAGUCUGAAUAGGGCGUUUAGUAUUUGGUCGUAGACCCGAAACCAGGUGAUCUACCCUUGGUCAGGUUGAAGUUCAGGUAACACUGAAUGGAGGACCGAACCGACUUACGUUGAAAAGUGAGCGGAUGAACUGAGGGUAGCGGAGAAAUUCCAAUCGAACCUGGAGAUAGCUGGUUCUCUCCGAAAUAGCUUUAGGGAUAGCCUCAAGUGAUGAUUAUUGGAGGUAGAGCACUGUUUGGACGAGGGGCCCCUCUCGGGUUACCGAAUUCAGACAAACUCCGAAUGCCAAUUAAUUUAACUUGGGAGUCAGAACAUGGGUGAUAAGGUCCGUGUUCGAAAGGGAAACAGCCCAGACCACCAGCUAAGGUCCCAAAAUAUAUGUUAAGUGGAAAAGGAUGUGGCGUUGCCCAGACAACUAGGAUGUUGGCUUAGAAGCAGCCAUCAUUUAAAGAGUGCGUAAUAGCUCACUAGUCGAGUGACACUGCGCCGAAAAUGUACCGGGGCUAAACAUAUUACCGAAGCUGUGGAUUGUCCUUUGGACAAUGGUAGGAGAGCGUUCUAAGGGCGUUGAAGCAUGAUCGUAAGGACAUGUGGAGCGCUUAGAAGUGAGAAUGCCGGUGUGAGUAGCGAAAGACGGGUGAGAAUCCCGUCCACCGAUUGACUAAGGUUUCCAGAGGAAGGCUCGUCCGCUCUGGGUUAGUCGGGUCCUAAGCUGAGGCCGACAGGCGUAGGCGAUGGAUAACAGGUUGAUAUUCCUGUACCACCUAUAAUCGUUUUAAUCGAUGGGGGGACGCAGUAGGAUAGGCGAAGCGUGCGAUUGGAUUGCACGUCUAAGCAGUAAGGCUGAGUAUUAGGCAAAUCCGGUACUCGUUAAGGCUGAGCUGUGAUGGGGAGAAGACAUUGAGUCUUCGAGUCGUUGAUUUCACACUGCCGAGAAAAGCCUCUAGAUAGAAAAUAGGUGCCCGUACCGCAAACCGACACAGGUAGUCAAGAUGAGAAUUCUAAGGUGAGCGAGCGAACUCUCGUUAAGGAACUCGGCAAAAUGACCCCGUAACUUCGGGAGAAGGGGUGCUCUUUAGGGUUAACGCCCAGAAGAGCCGCAGUGAAUAGGCCCAAGCGACUGUUUAUCAAAAACACAGGUCUCUGCUAAACCGUAAGGUGAUGUAUAGGGGCUGACGCCUGCCCGGUGCUGGAAGGUUAAGAGGAGUGGUUAGCUUCUGCGAAGCUACGAAUCGAAGCCCCAGUAAACGGCGGCCGUAACUAUAACGGUCCUAAGGUAGCGAAAUUCCUUGUCGGGUAAGUUCCGACCCGCACGAAAGGCGUAACGAUUUGGGCACUGUCUCAACGAGAGACUCGGUGAAAUCAUAGUACCUGUGAAGAUGCAGGUUACCCGCGACAGGACGGAAAGACCCCGUGGAGCUUUACUGUAGCCUGAUAUUGAAAUUCGGCACAGCUUGUACAGGAUAGGUAGGAGCCUUUGAAACGUGAGCGCUAGCUUACGUGGAGGCGCUGGUGGGAUACUACCCUAGCUGUGUUGGCUUUCUAACCCGCACCACUUAUCGUGGUGGGAGACAGUGUCAGGCGGGCAGUUUGACUGGGGCGGUCGCCUCCUAAAAGGUAACGGAGGCGCUCAAAGGUUCCCUCAGAAUGGUUGGAAAUCAUUCAUAGAGUGUAAAGGCAUAAGGGAGCUUGACUGCGAGACCUACAAGUCGAGCAGGGUCGAAAGACGGACUUAGUGAUCCGGUGGUUCCGCAUGGAAGGGCCAUCGCUCAACGGAUAAAAGCUACCCCGGGGAUAACAGGCUUAUCUCCCCCAAGAGUUCACAUCGACGGGGAGGUUUGGCACCUCGAUGUCGGCUCAUCGCAUCCUGGGGCUGUAGUCGGUCCCAAGGGUUGGGCUGUUCGCCCAUUAAAGCGGUACGCGAGCUGGGUUCAGAACGUCGUGAGACAGUUCGGUCCCUAUCCGUCGUGGGCGUAGGAAAUUUGAGAGGAGCUGUCCUUAGUACGAGAGGACCGGGAUGGACAUACCUCUGGUGUACCAGUUGUCGUGCCAACGGCAUAGCUGGGUAGCUAUGUGUGGACGGGAUAAGUGCUGAAAGCAUCUAAGCAUGAAGCCCCCCUCAAGAUGAGAUUUCCCAACUUCGGUUAUAAGAUCCCUCAAAGAUGAUGAGGUUAAUAGGUUCGAGGUGGAAGCAUGGUGACAUGUGGAGCUGACGAAUACUAAUCGAUCGAAGACUUAAUCAA
rnacentral:rRNA from 1 species